rnacentral:rRNA from 1 species
AUUGAACGCUGGCGGCAUGCUUUACACAUGCAAGUCGAACGGUAACAGGCCGCAAGGUGCUGACGAGUGGCGAACGGGUGCGUAAUGCAUCGGAACGUGCCCAGUCGUGGGGGAUAACUACUCGAAAGAGUAGCUAAUACCGCAUACGAUCUAUGGAUGAAAGCGGGGGACCGUAAGGCCUCGCGCGAUUGGAGCGGCCGAUGUCAGAUUAGGUAGUUGGUGGGGUAAAGGCUCACCAAGCCAACGAUCUGUAGCUGGUCUGAGAGGACGACCAGCCACACUGGAACUGAGACACGGCCCAGACUCCUACGGGAGGCAGCAGUGGGGAAUUUUGGACAAUGGGCGCAAGCCUGAUCCAGCAAUGCCGCGUGCAGGAAGAAGGCCUUCGGGUUGUAAACUGCUUUUGUACGGAACGAAACGGCUCUGGUUAAUACCCGGGGCUAAUGACGGUACCGUAAGAAUAAGCACCGGCUAACUACGUG